UAGGGAUGACAGAUGAGACCUCCAG
rnacentral:piRNA from 1 species